rnacentral:rRNA from 1 species
GUGGGGAAUAUUGCGCAAUGGGCGAAAGCCUGACGCAGCGACGCCGCGUGUGGGAUGAAGGUCUUCGGAUUGUAAACCACUGUCGGGAGGGACGAAGCUCUGACGGUACCUCCAAAGGAAGCACCGGCUAACUCUGUGCCAGCAGCCGCGGUAAUACAGAGGGUGCAAGCGUUGUCCGGAAUCACUGGGCGUAAAGGGCGCGUAGGCGGCCCGGUAAGUAGGGGGUGAAAUUCUGCGGCUUAACCGCAGGACUGCCUCCUAAACUGCCAGGCUUGAGCACGGUAGAGGCUGGUGGAAUUCCCGGUGUAGCGGUGGAAUGCGUAGAGAUCGGGAAGAACAUCGGUGGCGAAGGCGGCCAGCUGGGCCGUUGCUGACGCUGAGGCGCGACAGCGUGGGGAGCAAACAGGAUUAGAAACCCUAGUAGUCC